AUUCCUAUGCAAGAGUUGUCAUUGUUUGUUUCAUCUCUUUAAAAGUUAAAUCCCUCCGUAGCAUUUUCACACGCACCUACUGUUGUUUCUAUUAUUCUCCAAUGAAAAGAAACUUCAACGUUGGGUGACAUUAAGCGUGAGAUGAAGAUAGUCAUAUACACUAAGUGACGGAUGAGCUUCAACAAAUUCCAUACAAGAUUUGAUUAUGCGUAAGAUGCAAUUCUAAGAAAGCAGGGUACAAUCUUUCUCAAGAAUAUUAUACGGAUUUUUCCCUACUUCGAUCAAUCGUUACGUGUUGUCACAACUGAUGUGUGUCAGAGGGAUUGUCAAGAGAAUUGGCUCAGGUAUGUUAAGAAUAUCCCUUCUUUCUUUUUGGCAUGAUCCAAAUAAUACAAAUGAAACGAGUAAAAUACGCAACUUUCAUAAAUGACCUUAUUCAUAGAAAUAUUAGGGGUACCCAUAUUCUUGAUUCCCCGUAUGAAUUAUUAUUAUAUCUUUUGUUCAUGGGUCUCAGAAAAAUAUGUAUUUGACAAAGUUUAUCCGAAAGCCAUAUUGACUUUUAUGACAUUCCGAGAAAUCUUAUUAACGUAUUUCUUAUGCAUUUCAUUCAUUUAUACAUGUACAUUGACCCAUGAGCAGAUAGCAUUAUAUACGUGUGUAUAUGUAUAUUUUAUUUAUAUGGGAUACGGGAAAAAGGUUAUGGCAUUAUAUACUCACCACCACCUGAUCAGCUGGUAUACAUUGAUGAUUUUGCCUACAGUGGCCGAGAUGAUAUGAUGGAAUGCCUUCAGAGGCUUGAUGAUGUUAUGAACACAUGUACCUAUGUAUGACAUGACAUUCAGACGCUAUGACUAUUUCAUUAUUUACCGAGUUAUUCAGAUUUACAUGUCGAGUCUUUUACUCUAUGUUUCUCUCAUGUCUAUUAUUUACUGAUUUUAUUAUUUACAUACUCAGUACAUUGUUUGUACUAAUGUUCCUUUUGCCUGGGGAUGCUGCGUUUCAUGCCCACAGGUCCUGAUAGACAGUUCAAGUCCUCUAAGUAGGCUAUCAGCUCAGCAGAAGAUGUUUGUGUGCUUCAUUUGCUCCGAAGUUGCUUAUUUGGUCAGUAUAAUUAGGACAUGUAUUGAUUGGUCUGGCGGGGCUUAGUCCCGACCUUUAUGAUACUUAUGUACUCUUCGAAGCUUGUAGAUAGAUGUCAUGUAUACGAAUACUUGUAUAGCCUUGUCGGCCUAUGUUUUGAGUUUAUAAAUGAUUAUAUUGGCCUAUUAGGCCCGUAUGUCACUUGUAUAUGAUGAUGUAAUAAGAAAGAUACGUUACGUUGGUACUCAGUUGAGUAAGGUACAGAGUGCCCGUCUCGGCCUAUCGGUUUGGGUCGUGACAAAAGUGGUAUCAGAGUAGUUCUUUCCUAGGGAUGUCUACAAGCCAUGUCUAGUAGAGUCUUGUUUAUGGGUGUGUUAUACACCACACUUGUAAGCAGGAGUCUACAGGGCAUUUAGGACUGCCACUCUUUCUUCUUACUCUAGAUCAUGUGGUAGAGCUCAACUAUAAGAAUUUAAACUCCUAAUUUCUAUUUUAUUCGUAAUAAGAUGAUAUCUACAAUUGGUAAGAGAUUGAAUGUGGUUAUGGAAAAGUUGAGUUAGAA
rnacentral:lncRNA from 1 species